GGAUGUGAGGGCGAUCUGGCUGUGACAUGUCACCCCAUUGAUCACCAGGGUUGAUUCAGCUGAUCUGGUUGGCUAGGCAGGUGUCCCCUUCCUUCCUCACCCCUCCACGUGCGUCCCUUCCAAAGCUCCACGACCUUCCCCAAUAGAGGAGGACGUUUCCAAACAAGCUCUCAAGAAAUAUGUAAGUGAUGAGGCCGGGCACUGUGGCUCACGCCUGUAAUC
rnacentral:sRNA from 1 species